AAGUCGUAACGCCCUGCACGCCUAGCAAUCCCUGGUAAAUCAUUGUCUGAACAGAUUUUGAGUCAGGGACUUCUGACGUGACGCGAAGAAUGGUAUUGAUACUCCAUCUGCGUGGGAUGACAUGCGACGUAGCAAAUCACUUGGCUCCCCAAGCAACCAUGUUUCUAAAAGCGGCUCAUGGAAGCGUAAGGAGACGCUGUAACGUUUUGCUGUAGGCCAACACGGCCGGCAAUCCAAGUGGUUGUACUUCGGUACCCUCACAUCGGCACACCACCGAUGAUAUGUCAAUUUCGCGAAUGGACUAAAAGCCUCGCACCAAAAACCGAACAACUGUUAACAAUGGAUAUCUUGGUUCUC
rnacentral:misc_RNA from 1 species